CCGACUUUAGCUCAGCUGGAAGAGCAUCAGACUGUAAUUGGUUGCGUAAUUGAUACAUCUGGGUGUCGCCUGUUCGAACCAGGCAAGUCGGA